GACAGACAUGCUCCAUGACCUUCUGUCCUUCUGUAACUCUAGUCUGUGACAAAAAUGAAUAUUAAAUCACACACACACACACACACACACACACACACACACACAGCAAGUGCUGUGACGAAAGAGGAACCAAAGAUUGUGAGGGAGGAAGUGGAAGGAGCAUAGCCCUGGAGCCAGAACCAAAUCCUGCCUCAGUCCCUUCCCAGCUGUGUGACCUUCGGCAUCUCACUAUCCUCUCUGAGACUCAAUUUUCCCAUCCGCAAAGGACCUGGGGAGAGCUCUAGGUGCUUAACAGCAAUGGCGACCCAGCAAAAUGGAUGCAGCUGGAGGCCAUUAUCCUAAGCGAAUUAAUGCAGGAACAGAAAACCAACCACCACAUGUUCUCACUUAUAAGUGGGAGCAAAACAUUGACUACUCGUGGACAUGAAGAUGGAAACAAUAGACACUGGUGACUACUAGAGGGAGGAGGGCAGGAGAGGGGGUGAGGGUUGAAAAACUACCUACUGUGUCCUGUGCUCACUACUUGAGUGAUGGGAUCAUUCAUACAGCAAACCUUAGCAUCAUGUAGUGUAGCCACUGAUAUGGUCUGGCUCUGUGUCCCUACUCAAAUCUCAUCUUGAAUUGUAAUCUGAAUUGUAAUCCCCAGGUAUUGGGGGAGGGACAUCGUGGGAGGUGAUUGGAUCAUGGGGCCAGUUGUCCCAUGCUGUUCUCGUGAUAGUGAGUGAGUUGUCCUGAAAUCUCAUGAUUUUAUAAGGGGCUUUUCCCACUUUGCUCUUCACUUCUCUCUCCUGCUACCACGUAAGACGUGCUUCUUCCCCUUCUGCCAUGAUUGUAAGUUUCCUGAGGCCUCCCCGGCCAUGGGGAACUGUAAGUCAAUUAAACCUCUUUCCUUUAUAAGUUA